rnacentral:lncRNA from 1 species
AAAGCGUGUUUUGAAAAACACCAAACAACAACUAUGUCUGCGGAACGAAAUAAAAAAAUUAAAACAAACAAACAACAACAAGGCAACUGCAGACUCAACUAAAGUUUUGUAAUAAAAACAGUGCUAUUUGUUUAGUGACCAUUUCGGGCAACAAGUUUUUACCAGAUUUGUGACCCAAUUAUUGCCAAACAGGUUGGAGUCUCUCAGUUUUUAGCUUUUUUUUCGGGCCGGGGACGGAAAAGGGGGCGUGGUCAAGAGAGCGGAAAGGGCGAAACAAUAAAGAGCGCACAAAGCGGGAAAAAACAAUAAGAACAACACGGGAAGGACGACGGACGACGAAGCAGCAAACAAGAAAAUGCAAAGACGCGCGCGCAAUGUUAACGUUGUAAGCGUUGCGGUGGCAAAAGAGAGACUGAAACUGCGCCUGAGAAGCAGAAGCAAAGGCGAAACGGAAGCAGCGGCCAAAGAAGAGCAGCAACAAAUCCACCAUAUGAUCGGGGCAACAACAACAACUGCGGCCCAGUGGUGGUGGCUAAACAAGUUUCAAAAGGGUUAAGCCAUCAAACUUCUGCACUUGUCUCUAUGUAUACUUAGUUAUGAUUUAAUCAAAACGCGCACAGCCAUUUUAAUUACCUUUAAGUUGCACA